GAUUAUCCUACUCGGAUAACUGUGGCAAUUCUAGAGCUAAUACACGCAAGAAAGCUCCGACCUUUCGGGACGAGCGCAUUUAUUAGACCAAAACCAAUCGGGCUUCGGCCUGAGCGGUGGUGACUCUGAAUAACUGAGCUGAUCGCACGGUCUUAGUACCGGCGACGCAUCUUUCAAGUGUCUGCCUUAUCAACUUUCGAUGGUAGUUUAUGUGCCUACCAUGGUUGUUACGGGUAACGGAGAAUAAGGGUUCGACUCCGGAGAGGGAGCCUGAGAAACGGCUACCACAUCCAAGGAAGGCAGCAGGCGCGCAAAUUACCCACUCUCGGCACGAGGAGGUAGUGACGAAAAAUAAACGAGGCUAGUACUGUCAGAGGCCCGCCAUCGGAAUGGGUA
rnacentral:rRNA from 1 species